rnacentral:lncRNA from 14 species
GUCAGUGAGAUCUUUAAAGUGGUUCAGUCGACCAGAUCUAGGCGCCUUCACCUGUAAGCAGCUCGCAUCUUGGCUUCCAGUGGCUGAAGUCAGCCAGGAACUCAGCAGCUGGAUCCUGCAAAGUGCCACAGAAAACUCUCCAGUACCAAAACCAUCGAGGACCACACCCAUGUCAAAAGGCAUUGAGGAUGCUGACACAGCAGCAUACCAAGCAGCUUAGGAGAACUGUCCCCAUAUCACCUGGCUCUGUCAUGGAGGCGUUC